AUGAUUUCCAUUAUUUUGAGUUUGUGUUUGAAAUUGAAAAUUCUUCUACUCUGUGUGUGUUUUGUCAUUGUUGUGCACGAAGACGAGAAAACCGUGAACUGGAGGUUAAGGAAGGCACGAAAUCGGAAACGUGAUGGAGCUAAUGAAUGCCGAGAAGAAGAAUGGAGGCAAGGAAUCAGUGGUUGUGGUGACAAUUUCUGGCGGUGUACGGUGGAAGAAGGUGUUUGA